GAGUUUGAUCCUGGCUCAGAUUGCUUCGAAAGAGGGGCAUGCCUUACACAUGCAAGUCGAACGGCAGCGCGUCCUUCGGGAUGGCGGCGAGUGGCGAACGGGUGAGUAAAGCAUCGGAACGUGCCCGGUAGUGCGGGAUAGCUCGGCGAAAGCCGGAUUAAUACCGCAUGAGAUCCGUGGAUGAAAGCAGGGGACCCCUUGUGGGCCUUGCGCUACUGGAGCGGCCGAUGUCAGAUUAGGUAGUUGGUGGGGUAAAGGCCCACCAAGCCUGCGAUCUGUAGCUGGUCUGAGAGGAUGAUCAGCCACAUCGGGACUGAGACACGGUCCGAACUCCUACGGGAGGCAGCAGUGGGGAAUUUUGGACAAUGGGCGCAAGCCUGAUCCAGCCAUGCCGCGUGCAGGAUGAAGGCCCUCGGGUUGUAAACUGCUUUUGUACGGAACGAAAAGCCUCUUUCUAAUAAAGAGGGGUGAUGACGGUACCGUAAGAAUAAGCACCGGCUAACUACGUGCCAGCAGCCGCGGUAAUACG
rnacentral:rRNA from 1 species